UGCAAGUCGAGCGGACAGAUGGGAGCUUGCUCCCUGAUGUUAGCGGCGGACGGGUGAGUAACACGUGGGUAACCUGCCUGUAAGACUGGGAUAACUCCGGGAAACCGGGGCUAAUACCGGAUGGUUGUUUGAACCGCAUGGUUCAGACAUAAAAGGUGGCUUCGGCUACCACUUACAGAUGGACCCGCGGCGCAUUAGCUAGUUGGUGAGGUAACGGCUCACCAAGGCAACGAUGCGUAGCCGACCUGAGAGGGUGAUCGGCCACACUGGGACUGAGACACGGCCCAGACUCCUACGGGAGGCAGCAGUAGGGAAUCUUCCGCAAUGGACGAAAGUCUGACGGAGCAACGCCGCGUGAGUGAUGAAGGUUUUCGGAUCGUAAAGCUCUGUUGUUAGGGAAGAACAAGUGCCGUUCAAAUAGGGCGGCACCUUGACGGUACCUAACCAGAAAGCCACGGCUAACUACGUGCCAGCAGCCGCGGUAAUACGUAGGUGGCAAGCGUUGUCCGGAAUUAUUGGGCGUAAAGGGCUCGCAGGCGGUUUCUUAAGUCUGAUGUGAAAGCCCCCGGCUCAACCGGGGAGGGUCAUUGGAAACUGGGGAACUUGAGUGCAGAAGAGGAGAGUGGAAUUCCACGUGUAGCGGUGAAAUGCGUAGAGAUGUGGAGGAACACCAGUGGCGAAGGCGACUCUCUGGUCUGUAACUGACGCUGAGGAGCGAAAGCGUGGGGAGCGAACAGGAUUAGAUACCCUGGUAGUCCACGCCGUAAACGAUGAGUGCUAAGUGUUAGGGGGUUUCCGCCCCUUAGUGCUGCAGCUAACGCAUUAAGCACUCCGCCUGGGGAGUACGGUCGCAA
rnacentral:rRNA from 1 species